rnacentral:rRNA from 1 species
UGGGGAAUUUUGGACAAUGGGGGAAACCCUGAUCCAGCCAUCCCGCGUGUGCGAUGAAGGCCUUCGGGUUGUAAAGCACUUUUGGCAGGAAAGAAACGUCGCGGGUCAAUACCCCGCGAAACUGACGGUACCUGCAGAAUAAGCACCGGCUAACUACGUGCCAGCAGCCGCGGUAAUACGUAGGGUGCAAGCGUUAAUCGGAAUUACUGGGCGUAAAGCGUGCGCAGGCGGUUCGGAAAGAAAGAUGUGAAAUCCCAGAGCUUAACUUUGGAACUGCAUUUUUAACUACCGGGCUAGAGUGUGUCAGAGGGAGGUGGAAUUCCGCGUGUAGCAGUGAAAUGCGUAAAUAUGCGGAGGAACACCGAUGGCGAAGGCAGCCUCCUGGGAUAACACUGACGCUCAUGCACGAAAGCGUGGGGAGCAAACAGGAUUAGAUACCCUGGUAGUCCACGCCCUAAACGAUGUCAACUAGCUGUUGGGGCCUUCGGGCCUUGGUAGCGCAGCUAACGCGUGAAGUUGACCGCCUGGGGAGUACGGUCGCAAGAUU